rnacentral:rRNA from 1 species
GUGGGGAAUCUUAGACAAUGGGGGAAACCCUGAUCUAGCCAUGCCGCGUGAGCGAUGAAGGCCUUAGGGUUGUAAAGCUCUUUCAGCUGGGAAGAUAAUGACUGUACCAGCAGAAGAAGCCCCGGCUAACUCCGUGCCAGCAGCCGCGGUAAUACGGAGGGGGCUAGCGUUGUUCGGAAUUACUGGGCGUAAAGCGCACGUAGGCGGACCGGAAAGUCAGAGGUGAAAUCCCAGGGCUCAACCUUGGAACUGCCUUUGAAACUCCUGGUCUUGAGGUCGAGAGAGGUGAGUGGAAUUCCGAGUGUAGAGGUGAAAUUCGUAGAUAUUCGGAGGAACACCAGUGGCGAAGGCGGCUCACUGGCUCGAUACUGACGCUGAGGUGCGAAAGCGUGGGGAGCAAACAGGAUUAGAAACCCUUGUAGUCC